GGCGAGGUGGCAGAGCGGCCGAAUGCAGGCGCCUUGAAAGCGCCCGAAGGGAAACCUUCCGGGGGUUCAAAUCCCUCCCUCGCCGCAA
rnacentral:tRNA from 1 species